GACGAACGCUGGCGGCGUGCUUAACACAUGCAAGUCGAACGGAAAGGCCCUGCUUUUGUGGGGUGCUCGAGUGGCGAACGGGUGAGUAACACGUGAGUAACCUGCCCUUGACUUUGGGAUAACUUCAGGAAACUGGGGCUAAUACCGGAUAGGAGCUCCUGCUGCAUGGUGGGGGUUGGAAAGUUUCGGCGGUUGGGGAUGGACUCGCGGCUUAUCAGCUUGUUGGUGGGGUAGUGGCUUACCAAGGCUUUGACGGGUAGCCGGCCUGAGAGGGUGACCGGCCACAUUGGGACUGAGAUACGGCCCAGACUCCUACGGGAGGCAGCAGUGGGGAGUAUUGCACAAUGAGCGGAAGCCUGAUGCAGCAACGCCGCGUGCGGGAUGACGGCCUUCGGGUUGUAAACCGCUUUCGCCUGUGACGAAGCGUGAGUGACGGUAAUGGAUAAAGAAGCACCGGCUAACUACGUG
rnacentral:rRNA from 1 species